UANAAACCUCNUCAUGUUUAAGGNGCGGGCAUCGUCACCUUUAUGAGGGUGGCCGUCGUAUAGAAUCGUGAGAGUGANAAAUAGACAGGCCUCCGGAGGCCUGAUAUCUAGUAGCCUACGAUGUAGGCGUUACCAUUCACCCCUGUCUAUAGAUGCCUNGUAGCAGGGGGAGGGGUUAUAAAUGUGAGGCAUGAUAAAGGGAAAAAGUUACCGCGGGGAUAACAGCACAAUACUGUUAUAGAGGACAUAUCGAAGACAGGGAUUGUGACCUCGAUGUUGGAUUAAGGAUGCCUCUGGGAGCAGGAGCUCAGAAGGUAGGA
rnacentral:rRNA from 1 species